rnacentral:rRNA from 1 species
UUUGCGGCAGCUACACAUGCAGUCGAGCGGAACGAGUUAUCUGAACCUUCGGGGGACGAUAACGGCGUCGAGCGGCGGACGGGUGAGUAAUGCCUAGGAAAUUGCCCUGAUGUGGGGGAUAACCAUUGGAAACGAUGGCUAAUACCGCAUGAUGCCUACGGGCCAAAGAGGGGGACCUUCGGGCCUCUCGCGUCAGGAUAUGCCUAGGUGGGAUUAGCUAGUUGGUGAGGUAAGGGCUCACCAAGGCGACGAUCCCUAGCUGGUCUGAGAGGAUGAUCAGCCACACUGGAACUGAGACACGGUCCAGACUCCUACGGGAGGCAGCAGUGGGGAAUAUUGCACAAUGGGCGCAAGCCUGAUGCAGCCAUGCCGCGUGUGUGAAGAAGGCCUUCGGGUUGUAAAGCACUUUCAGUCGUGAGGAAGGUGGUGUAGUUAAUAGCUGCAUUAUUUGACGUUAGCGACAGAAGAAGCACCGGCUAACUCCGUGCCAGCAGCCGCGGUAAUACGGAGGGUGCGAGCGUUAAUCGGAAUUACUGGGCGUAAAGCGCAUGCAGGUGGUUUGUUAAGUCAGAUGUGAAAGCCCGGGGCUCAACCUCGGAAUAGCAUUUGAAACUGGCAGACUAGAGUACUGUAGAGGGGGGUAGAAUUUCAGGUGUAGCGGUGAAAUGCGUAGAGAUCUGAAGGAAUACCGGUGGCGAAGGCGGCCCCCUGGACAGAUACUGACACUCAGAUGCGAAAGCGUGGGGAGCAAACAGGAUUAGAUACCCUGGUAGUCCACGCCGUAAACGAUGUCUACUUGGAGGUUGUGGCCUUGAGCCGUGGCUUUCGGAGCUAACGCGUUAAGUAGACCGCCUGGGGAGUACGGUCGCAAGAUUAAAACUCAAAUGAAUUGACGGGGGCCCGCACAAGCGGUGGAGCAUGUGGUUUAAUUCGAUGCAACGCGAAGAACCUUACCUACUCUUGACAUCCA